GGAUUCAGAUGAGUUUUUUAGAUUCUUUUCCUUCUUGUUGUAACUAAGAAAACAUCUGACUGCCAGUAGAAGAAGGAGUUUUGGGAGAUUAAUGGCGGUACCAAAGGACGAGUACUUAGUGCUUUUUGACUUUGAUGACGAAGAAGAUGAUCCAAGUGUUUCUGAGAAGGCUCUGCCUGAAGUGUUAACAGAAAAGAACCCAGUAUUUAAGAAAGAUAAGAGGAAAUGGCCUCCUGCAGAAGCAGAUGAAGAUAUGGGAGAUGAAAUACACACUAUGUUGGAUAAAUUUGGAG